UAAGGUAGAGGCGCGGGUAUAAAUAGUCAUCAUGAGGAGCUGGCAAACAAUGAUUCAUGAUAAAAGGUGUACUUGCCGAAGUGGGAUGACAGCCAAAUCAUCGUGCUGGUUGUCUAUUUAAUAGGUAGACGACUGUCACCAAUAUUACAUUGGUGGAGUGCUAUCA
rnacentral:ncRNA from 1 species